GGAACUUAAAAAGUUGAUGCCAUUGUCAGUAGAGACAGGAGCAUCUCAUGAGCAGAAGUUGCCUAUUUUGACUUGGUUCAGGAACCUGGGGCCAAGAUCCUACAUGUGAACAAGUAGUGCAAGAAAACAAAGUACAGGAGAAAUGGUGGCUGAGACCCACUAGGUUCCCACAUUUCCUGACAGCUCAUAAGGGGAUGCAGUAAUUUCCACAAAAAAAGCGGCAGGCUUUCUGCAAAUGGAAGGAAAAAAAAUCUUCAUGCCUCUAAUACUUGCCUCUCUCCUGUCACCUUUCCGACUUCUGCUGCCAAAAGUAAUCAUUUUUAAUGAGAAUUCUCUACCAUAAAAAUCUGACUUUUGAAAGCAGUGCUGGAAAGAGAGACCAAUCUCUUGGCGGGUGUGUCAAAACAAUAAAAAAAAAGUGUU